UGUUGACCUCGGAUCAGGUAGGAAUACCCGCUGAACUUAGCAUAUCA
rnacentral:rRNA from 1 species